AUACGUAGGUGGCGAGCGUUGUCCGGAAUUACUGGGUGUAAAGGGCGCGUAGGCGGGGAUGUAAGUCAGAUGUGAAAUACCAUGGCUUAACUGUGGUCGUGCAUCUGAAACUAUGUUUCUUGAGUAUCGGAGAGGAAAGCGGAAUUCCCAGUGUAGCGGUGAAAUGCGUAGAGAUUGGGAAGAACACCAGUGGCGAAGGCGGCUUUCUGGACGGUAACUGACGCUGAGGCGCGAAAGCGUGGGGAGCAAACAGGAUUAGAUACCCUGGUAGUCCACGCCGUAAACGAUGGAUACUAGGUGUAGGAGGUAUCGACCCCUUCUGUGCCGGAGUUAACACAAUAAGUAUCCCACCUGGGGAGUACGGCCGCAAGGUUGAA
rnacentral:rRNA from 1 species